GCAACUUCUCUUGGGCCAAGCCUUCAAACUCAGGAGUCAAUAGGCGCCAUCCCUAUUUAAACCACUACACAUAAGCACAUAAUUUAAAAACAAAUAUUAUUUCCAAAAGCCAUCCAAGAUACCUAUUUUCUUUUUUUAAGGUUUAAUUUUAUUAUUUUUUAAUUAUGUUGUAAGACUCUGGCAAGCCUUAACUUUCCAGAGGAGACCCCCUCCCCUCCCACCCCAAGUGAACAACGCAGAGCUGGGAAUCGAUGCAGAAGCAAGAGGAAUUUUAUUGUUCCUGCAUCCUGGGGUCGCCCUGCACAUGAAGGAGAGAGAGAAUGCACAGCCUGUUCGGUAAGCACGCUACUGAGACAAAAAGAAGACAGAAGUGUACCUGCCUUCGGUUGUCUCAGAUCGCCAGAUCCGUUACCAGAGAGGCUUGAGUUGUCAUGAAUGAAAGAAGACUUUGCUCAGUGUCAGUCACCUUCAGACAGAAGCUCUGUGUUCUCAGGCACUCCCUGGAAGGAGGGUGACAGGAACUCACCGCAAAGUCAGCAGAUUUUAUUUGCUUGGGUCACCGUGAAAGUCCAGAGGCCAUCACUUCAGUAGGGACGGGAUCUAGUAGCUCAAAAGAUGCUAAGGCUGAUGGUAUCUGCAAGUUUCGCAGUGGCAAAAAGAUAACUCCAAG
rnacentral:lncRNA from 1 species